UACGGAGGGUGCGAGCGUUGUCCGGAAUCACUGGGCGUAAAGGGCGCGUAGGCGGCCCGUCAAGCGUGUGGUGAAAGCCCGGGGCUCAACCCCGGGUCGGCCGUGCGGACUGGCGGGCUCGAGCACUGUAGGGGCGGGUGGAAUUCCGGGUGUAGCGGUGGAAUGCGUAGAGAUCGGGAAGAAUAUCAGUGGCGAAGGCGGCCUGCUGGGCUGUUGCUGACGCUGAGGCGCGACAGCGUGGGGAGCAAACAGG
rnacentral:rRNA from 1 species